rnacentral:rRNA from 1 species
CCUACGGGUGGCAGCAGUGGGGAAUCUUGCGCAAUGGGCGAAAGCCUGACGCAGCGACGCCGCGUGAGGGAUGAAGGUCUUCGGAUCGUAAACCUCUGUCAGCAGGGAAGAACGGUCACUGUGCUAAUCAGCCGUGAAUUGACGGUACCUGCAAAGGAAGCCCCGGCUAACUCCGUGCCAGCAGCCGCGGUAAUACGGAGGUGGCGAGCGUUAAUCGGAAUUACUGGGCGUAAAGCGAUCGUAGGCGGUAUGUUAAGUCAAGUGUGAAAGCCCCGAGCUCAACGUGGGAACUGCCUUUGAAACUGGCAAACUGGAGUGUGUGAGAGGAUAGUGGAAUUCCAGGUGUAGGAGUGAAAUGCGUAGAUAUCUGGAGGAACAUCAGUGGCGAAGGCGACUAUCUGGCACAUAACUGACGCUGAGGAGCGAAAGCGUGGGUAGCAAACAGGAUUAGAUACCCUAGUAGUC